rnacentral:sRNA from 1 species
GUUUAGCCCUGAUUGAAGUGGCAUCCUUUUUUGAAGAAUGAAAAAAAGAUAUAACGUAAAGCAGGAAAUAGC